AGAACGAACGCUGGCGGCAUGCCUAACACAUGCAAGUCGAACGAGACCUUCGGGUCUAGUGGCGCACGGGUGCGUAACGCGUGGGAAUCUGCCCUUGGGUUCGGAAUAACAGUUAGAAAUGACUGCUAAUACCGGAUGAUGACGAAAGUCCAAAGAUUUAUCGCCCAGGGAUGAGCCCGCGUAGGAUUAGCUAGUUGGUGAGGUAAAGGCUCACCAAGGCGACGAUCCUUAGCUGGUCCGAGAGGAUGAUCAGUCACACUGGAACUGAGACACGGUCCAGACUCCUACGGGAGGCAGCAGUGGGGAAUAUUGGACAAUGGGCGAAAGCCUGAUCCAGCCAUGCCGCGUGUGUGAAGAAGGUCUUCGGAUUGUAAAGC
rnacentral:rRNA from 1 species